rnacentral:misc_RNA from 1 species
GUCAGGAGCCACAAGUGAAAAAACUUGAUGAGGUUGAUUCUGUAGUUCGUGAAAGAGAGAAUGGUCAAAUUCAGCUUACAUCAGAUGAUAUCGAGGAGCUUAUGAAACAAAUUGUAGAUGAUCCUGUGCUAGAGUCGCCAUCAGCCAGUGGUUAUCAUCAAUUUGACUCUGGUGUGCAGGUUGAUGAUAAAGAAGAAACUGUAAGUACUAUGAUCGAUGCUUACUCCCGGGAUCAUAUACUUCCUGAACCAGAUAAAGUAUAUCACUCUAG